rnacentral:rRNA from 1 species
CGAAAGCCUGACGGAGCAACGCCGCGUGAGGGAUGAAGGCCUCUGGGCUGUAAACCUCUUUUCUCAAGGAAGAAGAUCUGACGGUACUUGAGGAAUAAGCCACGGCUAAUUCCGUGCCAGCAGCCGCGGUAAUACGGGAGUGGCAAGCGUUAUCCGGAAUUAUUGGGCGUAAAGCGUCCGCAGGCGGGCUGUUAAGUCUGUCGUUAAAGCGUGGAGCUUAACUCCAUUUAAGCGAUGGAAACUAACAGGCUUGAGUGUGGUAGGGGCAGAGGGAAUUCCCGGUGUAGCGGUGCAAUGCGUAGAUAUCGGGAAGAACACCAGUGGCGAAGGCGCUCUGAUGGGCCAUAACUGACGCUCAUGGACGAAAGACAAGGGAGCG